GUGCCUAAUACAUGCAAGUCGAGCGAACAGAUGAGAAGCUUGCUUCUCUGAUGUUAGCGGCGGACGGGUGAGUAACACGUGGGUAACCUACCUAUAAGACUGGGAUAACUCCGGGAAACCGGGGCUAAUACCGGAUAAUAUUUUGAACCGCAUGGUUCAAUAGUGAAAGACGGUUUCGGCUGUCACUUAUAGAUGGACCCGCGCCGUAUUAGCUAGUUGGUAAGGUAAUGGCUACCAAGGCGACGAUACGUAGCCGACCUGAGAGGGUGAUCGGCCACACUGGAACUGAGACACGGUCCAGACUCCUACGGGAGGCAGCAGUAGGGAAUCUUCCGCAAUGGGCGAAAGCCUGACGGAGCAACGCCGCGUGAGUGAUGAAGGUCUUCGGAUCGUAAAACUCUGUUGUUAGGGAAGAACAAAUUUGUUAGUAACUGAACAAGUCUUGACGGUACCUAACCAGAAAGCCACGGCUAACUACGUGCCAGCAGCCGCGGUAAUACGUAGGUGGCAAGCGUUAUCCGGAAUUAUUGGGCGUAAAGCGCGCGUAGGCGGUUUCUUAAGUCUGAUGUGAAAGCCCACGGCUCAACCGUGGAGGGUCAUUGGAAACUGGGAAACUUGAGUGCAGAAGAGGAGAGUGGAAUUCCAUGUGUAGCGGUGAAAUGCGCAGAGAUAUGGAGGAACACCAGUGGCGAAGGCGGCUCUCUGGUCUGUAACUGACGCUGAUGUGCGAAAGCGUGGGGAUCAAACAGGAUUAGAUACCCUGGUAGUCCACGCCGUAAACGAUGAGUGCUAAGUGUUAGGGGGUCUCCGCCCCCUUAGUGCUGCAGCUAACGCAUUAAGCACUCCGCCUGGGGAGUACGACCGCAAGGUUGAAACUCAAAUGAAUUGACGG
rnacentral:rRNA from 1 species